UGAUCCGCUCUCCUCAGCCUCCCUAAAUGCUGGUAUUAUCGGCAUGAACCACUGCACCUGGCCAAGGUCAUGGAGACUUCUGUCCUGGCCAUCUAAGUGGUCUGUCCACCUCCCCCAUUAUCCCAUGCCUCUCAAUUCCUACGCAAGAUGCAAAACAUCUGGAAAAAUGGACUGUAUCCAUUCCUCUCUUCCAAACUCUUCACUGGCCUUGAUGUGCAUUUAGGAUAAAAUCCAGACUCCGAAGCCCCCUGCAUAAAAUAAUCCCCUAGGAUGCUUGCUCACCAACCAGAUUCCAAGCUCCUGCCCCAAGAUGCUGAUUCAGCAAGGCUGAGAUGGACCCAAGCAUCUGCCAUUGCAACACCCCCCUGCGGGAAUCCUGAUGCAGGCCACCCAUGAAACUUAUUUUGGAAAUACUGUCCUCCAGAUUUGACCUCUAAUGCCUCUUCUCUCAUCUGGUGCUGCUUGCUCUCCCCUGGUGCACGGUCUCCUGUUGCAGAGCCCAGAAAGGGCCGGGUACAGCCUUUAGCCAUCAGCCCCCGUCUCUAACAGCCCUUACACCCAUUCUUUGAUGUAGACAAUAAAGCACAUAAAGUGCUGUUUUAAACUUAAAGACAAAUAAUCCAUUUUCUGUAUCACUGAUACAGAACAUUCUGGAGCUACCAGCAUUCUUUCCUAUAUCAAAAGGUUCCAGUGGCCUGUAUUUUUCUUCCUACAACGUCAGCCUCUGCCCCAAAUGUACCCCCACUCCAUUCUUGGAGUGAUUCGUGUCAAGUGUUUAGCUCCCUACUAGACUGAAAGCUGUUUGAGGGCAAGAGCUCUUUUCUUCUCUGCUGUAUACAAAGAACUAAGCACAUUGCCUGGAAUAUAAAUAAGGCUUAAUAAAUAUUUGUCACAUGAACAUGAAAAAGCAGUCAAUUUCCGGAUGACCUUCAAGUAAAUAAAGUCAGUCUGAGAUGUGGGAGGUCUCCACGGCAGGUAGCAAGAGGAACACUAAGAAAAGUGAGCGGUAAACGAAGAUGAACAGCGACCGCCCUGCAAUGUUCCCAGCUGGGGGUGAACACUAAUGAACACGUGCAAAUGGCCCCAGGGCUCUUCUAGACCUUUGAAAUCCUAGGCCGGAGGUCAUCGCUCGGCUCUGAUUUAGAGACCACCUGCCACUGUGCAGCCCUGGGAUUCCAUUGCUCACCCCAACUGCAGAGGCCUGUCUCCUCCCUCACCCCUCCUCUGACUCCUCGUAAACCAGGUUCAACUCACCUUAAAAUCAGUGUCCUCAUUUGUCUUUUUGAGGACUACUAAAAUCCUUAAAGAGACAUUCUAAUGAGCUUAUUCUCUUUGACUUAGGAGUACAGAGGUGUUUGGUCAUUUUAAGGAUUCCUCCUUUAUUUUACUAAAAGUUUUGUGUUCACCCCUCUCCAGCUCCCAGCAAAUAUUGUGAGACCUGUGGAACCCCCGGACUCCUCCUAGGAGGGGCAUAGCUUUAGGAAGUCGUGAACCCCUUAAAACUGUAUCUGAUUUUUUGUGUGUAUAUUCAUGGCUUCCUAUCCUAUUUUAAAAGAUUGAAAAUCACUGGCAUAGUAGAAGCAACACUGUCUUUUUAACGAAAAUGUCUGUGUUCAAAUCCCAGCUCUACACCUGUCAAUUGAAGUAACUGGGCAGACCAUUUAAGUCAUAUGAAAGCUCGAAUCUUACUAAAUUGUCUGCCUGAAAGCCCUCAUAGGCUACAAAGCACGGAAUUCCAGUAUGUUAUCUCUCAAGAACCUCAACCAGGGGUCCCUAGACAAUCACAUUUGCUCUUAUCACCUUCCCCGUCACUGCAUAAGGUCUGCGCAAGUGAUUCCCAUUCUACAGAUGAGAACACUGAGGCCAAGGUAGGUGAUUGAAUGUCCCCGAGGUCACAGGAUCAAUGACUGAAAGAAGCUGAACCUUGAAGGUAGAAAGAAAGGAGGGGAAUUCAAAGAAGAAGAAGAAAAAUAAAAACAAGAAACAAAAUCAUGCUUCUUUGUCGUCCUUCUGGAACUCAGACUCCCAGCUCUUUGGAGUGAGUUAGGUGGAGUUCUGGAAUGUUUUGCAAGACGAAGAUAGCUUUCCCAUUCUGUCGCGUUCUUGCUCUCCUCUGACGCCCACCUGCUUGUUGCUUUCUGCUGGUGUCUCACCUUCUGCAGGCGAGGAGCGCAUGAGAGUCGGGCUGGGUGAAACCGGGGCUCCAUCUGCCCGCGUGCUUUCUGGGGAUGUCUGAAGGUAACUUUGUGCUGGCGCCCCUUGCCAGGAAGCUGAGAAGCCUUCUGCAGCACCACCCGGCUCCCAUCCACUCUCCGCGGAAUAAGCUGGUACCAAAGCCAGCCCCUGGUGCCGCUCAACCAGAUGGCAGGGGAAGCAAAACAAAAGUGACCUUGUUAGCAGAAUGUGUCUUCCCCGGGAGAAGCUAUUUCUGUUGUGGUUGUGAACUGAAGUCGCCUCAGCUGAAUUCUCCUUCCCUGCGAGGGCUGUGGAAUGUUAAUUUGUUCCAAAGUUCAGUAUUUUGAUUAGAACCAGGAGUGCCAGAUUUUGUCAGAAACAUUUUGGAAUGGGGUAGGCUCACACACACUCUCUCUCUCUUUCUCUCUCACUCUCUCUCUUGGCCGCUGUACAAAGUAAAUGUUGUUGCAGCAGCUGCCCUGGGGGAACAGCCCAUUGCAAAUCGGAGUCGGGGGGGUGAACCGGCUCCUCCCUGUUGCCGUGACCUUAUUGCCACAAACGCACCCAGACUGGGGACAAAAGUGGAGACACCCUUUCACUUGGAGAGAACAAAGAGCCGAGCACAGAACCUGGAACGGAGGGAUCCUCAGGAAACAUGUCAUAGUAUAGUAGUUGGGAGUAUGGAAUUUGAAUCUGGAUUGCCUGGGGUCUCAUCCUGGCCCUGGAGUAGCCGGAGGAAGAGCAGCUGUGUGGACAAGUGAACCCGGCUGAAAGUCAAUUUCGCAGUGUCUGGACCAGGAAUGAUGGCAGAGGUUAUGUUCCAGGGUGCUCGUGAGGAUCGGUGCAUGAACUAGCGGGUGCUAAGUGCUCAGAGCAGGCUGACCAGCACCAGCGCUGCAGGGGUUGGCUUUUAUCAUUGCCGCUAUCAUUCCCCCAAUCACUUAGGACGCUGAGCACCUCCAUCCCCCACCUUCACUUUCAGUUCAGUGUGGACAGUUUCCCACGUUUCCCAGUCUCCCAGCACUAAGGCUGGGAAAGAACCCGGGAGCGGUGAAUUCCCGAUUCUGUUUCUGCCUCUUACAGGACACCCUGCGGCUUCUUCCUGCCUUCUUCAAAGUUCAGCCCAAGAGGAAGAGAGACCUAAUGAAUACUCAGGAGGUGGUGGCGUCUCUGUUUCUCCCAGCUGGGACAACUAAGGCCCCGAGAGGAGAAAGGGACCCUCCGGGGUACAGAGGCCACUGAGUCAGAGCCAGGACCAACAUCCCACCAGCUCUCCCUCUUCAGCGCGGACCCCAGCUCACCAGCGGCGGCUUCCUGAAGAGCUGGGUUAAGGCGGAUUCCGGGUGCAGCAGAGCUCGCUAAGAGAGAGAGGCUGAGGGGGCCUUACUCUUCUCAUCAGCAAGUGGGGACAGUGAAUCGACCCGGAGGCCUGGGAGAGGCAGGAAUAAUGAUGCACGAGAGAGAAUUCUGGAUUCGGGAGAAUCAGAGGCUUAACGAAUACAAUGCUGACAAUAGGAACAUUAUGAUACAAGAAACUAUUUGUAUCCAUCGUCCUUUCCUCACCUGAAAUAACGUAUGGAUUCCUACUCAGUGAUGACAUUUUUCAGGCACCAAGAGUUGCCCAUGGAACAAGAAGUACAUAAACUUCCUUGCUUUGUAGAAAACAGAUUCCGUUUUAUAAGUAGUUUGAUAUUUCGACACUACCUCCAAAGAUUGGGAAGACCCCUCACGAAGCAACAGGAGUCAGCCAGAAAGAAAAGAAUCAGCCGAAGGCUGGGAAGCCGAGGCUGCAGUCAGCCGAGAUCGCACCAUUGCA